rnacentral:lncRNA from 1 species
AUGGAAGGGCCCCGGAAGAAGGUGGGGCCCUGGGCUGCAGGAGUGCAGCGUGGCCAGAGCCCAGUGUGCACUGGGGCGGUGGGGGGAGGUUGUGAAGGCCCUUGGAAGCAUCUUAUCUGGGGAUGGAGAGCUGCUGCCGUCUGGAGUGACGCUGUCAGAUUUGCCGUUGGAAGGACGGAGCCCUGGAGGACCGUGCUCGACAAGACUCCUCAUGAAAAAGAGGAAGGUGGAUCUCCCUACCCCACCCCCAGGAGCUUUCCCGAGACAGGACCCCCUUCCAGGAGCCAGGGGUGAACACUCUGCUGAUGGCUCAGCCCAGUGAGGCCUCUUUGCUGUGUCGGUGGUCUCUGGUUAGACCCCUUAACAGCUCCCGAUACCUCCAGGAGAAUUUCUAAGUUGUUGGCCUGAUGUGAACCCCGCAUGAAUGUUCACACUCCCAUGUGAGCCUGCCGCCUGUUGGUGCUGGCGCCCUGCCCUGCCCUGCGGGUCUGCCCUUGUUCCCGGUCCCCACGUUGGAACAGCAGGGAGCACCCCUGUGGCUGGACUCCUGCGCCUCUGGCAACUUCCUGCCAACCCCCGCCUUAGUUUUUAGGGCACCUUUGGCCUCUGCCGUUGCCCGCUGAAGGGCAGGUGCUGUGCGCUCCCACUGCACCCAGGACAACGCGCUGCCCCAAGAAGGUUCUCGCCUACCGUGAGUUGAAAAGACAAGACCGUUUAGUUGCUUGGACGCUUUUCUCUGCUAGAAUGAGAUGUGUCUUAAGGGGAACUGGCCUGAGGGCAGGCUUGCUUCUACAGAUGGUCUCACCAGGAGGAACACGGACGGUCACCAGCAGUGGGCUGCGGUCAGUGGAGUGUGGCUGGUGGGUGCGCCUCUCAGAGGGGAGGAAAAUGGAGCGAGACCCCGAGACGGAGGCAGAUGGGCCGAGCUCAAGGGUGACGCGUGAGGGGCCAGUCCACCCCUUCCUUCAGUUUAGGGAGGUGUGAAUAUCUGAGGGGCCGUGGGAGGAGAGGAGGAUGGAAGGAGAAAGACCUGGUCUGGGAAGGCAGGCCCGCACCACCCUGGGAGACACAGGCCGGGCUGGGUGCCCCCUCCUCCUGGCGC